rnacentral:rRNA from 1 species
AUUUUCCGCAAUGGGCGAAAGCCUGACGGAGCAAUGCCGCGUGGAGGUGGAAGGCCCACGGGUCGUCAACUUCUUUUCUCGGAGAAGAACCAAUGACGGUAUCUGAGGAAUAAGCAUCGGCUAACUCUGUGCCAACAGCCGCGGUAAGACAGAGGAUGCAAGCGUUAUCCGGAAUGAUUGGGCGUAAAGCGUCUGUAGGUGGCUUUUCAAGUCCGCUGUCAAAGCCCAGGGCUCAACCCUGGACAGGCGGUGGAAACUACCAAGCUGGAGUACGGUAGGGGAAGAGGGAAUUUCCGGUGUAGCGGUGAAAUGCAUUGAGAUCGGAAAGAACACCAACGGCGAAAGCACUCUGCUGGGCCGACACUGACACUGAGAGACGAAAGCUAGGGGAGCAAAUGG